rnacentral:rRNA from 1 species
GACGUAGGGCGCAAGCGUUGUCCGGAUUUAUUGGGCGUAAAGAGCUCGUAGGCGGCUUGUUGCGUCGACCGUGAAAACCCGUGGCUCAACUGCGGGCUUGCGGUCGAUACGGGCGGGCUAGAGUUCGGUAGGGGAGACUGGAAUUCCUGGUGUAGCGGUGAAAUGCGCAGAUAUCAGGGAGGGAACACCCAAUGGCGAAAGGCAGCUCGCUGGAACGGUACUGACGCUGAGGCGCGAAAAGCGUGGGG